CUUAGAUCGCAGCGGAAAGCUCAGUAACACGUGGCCAAACUACCCUGCAGAGGAGCAUAAUCUCGGGAAACUGAGGCUAAUACUCCAUACCGCACUCACGUUGGAAUACCGAGUGCCCAAAACGCUUCGGCGCUGCAGGAUGUGGCUGCGGCCGAUUAGGUAGACGGUGGGGUAACGGCCCACCGUGCCGAUAAUCGGUACGGGUUGUGAGAGCAAGAGCCCGGAGACGGAAUCUGAGACAAGAUUCCGGGCCCUACGGGGCGCAGCAGGCGCGAAACCUUUACACUGCACGACAGUGCGAUAAGGGGACCCCAAGUGCGAGGGCAUACAGUCCUCGCUUUUGUACACCGUAAGGUGGUGUACGAAUAANAGCCGGGCAAGACCGGUGCCAGCCGCCGCGGUAAUACCGGCAGCUCAAGUGAUGAC
rnacentral:rRNA from 1 species